rnacentral:rRNA from 1 species
CCUCGGGUGGCUGCAGUGGGGAAUAUUGGACAAUGGGCGAAAGCCUGAUCCAGCCAUGCCGCGUGUGUGAAGAAGGCCUUCGGGUUGUAAAGCACUUUCAGCGGGGAAGAAAGCCUUGGGGCUAAUACCCUCGAGGAAGGACAUCACCCACAGAAGAAGCACCGGCUAACUCCGUGCCAGCAGCCGCGGUAAUACGGAGGGUGCGAGCGUUAAUCGGAAUUACUGGGCGUAAAGCGCCCGUAGGCGGUCUGAUAAGCCGGAUGUGAAAGCCCCGGGCUCAACCUGGGAACGGCAUCCGGAACUGUCAGGCUAGAGUGCAGGAGAGGAAGGUAGAAUUCCCGGUGUAGCGGUGAAAUGCGUAGAGAUCGGGAGGAAUACCAGUGGCGAAGGCGGCCUUCUGGACUAACACUGACGCUGAGGUGCGAAAGCGUGGGUAGCAAACAGGAUUAGAUACCCCUGUAGUC